ensembl:lncRNA
CUCAUGCUGUGUGGUUCUUCCCGGUUUAGGUUUUGUAGAGUUUUCUGUUCAGCAAUAAAAGCUGCCGUUUUGAGUUCAGUCCUGUUUCUAGUGAGUUUGCGUUUGGGUCCAAUUCCUGCCUGCACACAGCCGGAUCAUGACCGAUUGAGCCAUCAAUUUUUAAAUACUGAAUUGAAUUGUUUCAUGACUUCUGCCUUUCUAACCUAAAAAAGUAAGCAGAACUUUGCUCGCCUUCUUCAAGCCAUCGCCUGUGCGACCUGACAAAGGCUCCCUCAGCUCUUCACUUGUAAAUCUCAUCAAGCCUAUGCUGCUGCACAACAAGCUCUGCUUUUUCAGACUCAUUGAGAGUGUCUGGAAGUUUUGAGGCCAUAAAGCUUAAGAUUCCAGCGAUGCGAGUAACUCUCCAGGCAGGAAAGCCGUUUCUCUUGUGUGCCACGGGUUUCUUGAAAUUUGGGCAUCCGACCUGUUGUUGAUCAGUGAGGAUUGCUGUGGAUUCCACGUCAGCAAUCCUUCUCUGUUUGACCGCUGGAGAUUUAGAUGGUGUAGCGGGAAGGGGUGGAAAAUCCUCAUCCAUUUCAGAUACCAGCACUAGGAUCCGAGCCGAGAACUUUUCAUAAUGACUCGGUGAUGGGAACCAACCAAGGAGGGGGGAACACAGAUAUCGAUGAAUAAAACAGUAAUUAGGUAUUUAAUAAUAAUUUAGUAAUUAGGCUUUGAGCUGACCAAUGAGCCGAAUUUACAGCCUUUUGAUGAGUGAAGCGCCCAGAGUUUUUGAAAUCAACCAAGACAACUUUGCAGACUCUCCAGAAAUACACAAGCCCUUAACUGCCCUGCAACCCCGUGUUUCUGGUCCCAUCACCACAUUCAGGCGUUUUUCCACUUAAAACAUCACUUUUUGAGAGAUAUUUUUUUUGAUAAAUUGCCAAAGAGUCAUUUUUACCCCCCAGUACAGUAGACUCUGCAUUUGGAUCUGAGGAGAGCAGCGGACACAAGUGAUUGUGAAGAAGUCACUGACAUUUGGUGGCAGGCCUUAGAUAAUUGUGAGUUAUUGUGUCUGAUGGUGAAAAACACAAAGUUUUGGAAGAGGCAUACAGGCACUGUGGAAAAAGCAAAGGUGUGUACAUUCUGUAAAAAUGUUUUUGUAAACACUUUUCUGCUUAUAUUAUGCUUUGAAAAUGUGAUACAUAUGUGAUAAUCAAAGAACAUGAUUUUUUUUUUUUAAAACCUUUAUUCUUACGCUUUGAAAGUAUGUCAGAUUAUCCUAAACACUUAUUUGUAUGUAUGUUACACUGUGUAAUUUUUUUUAUAGAAACCUUGUUCAUUGUAUGACUGUGUAAUUAUCUAUCUUUGAUAAAUAAAAUAUUUAAU